rnacentral:rRNA from 1 species
UACGUAGGGUGCAAGCGUUGUCCGGAAUUACUGGGCGUAAAGCGCGUGUAGGCGGGGCUUUAAGUCAGGGGUGAAAUGCCAAGGCUCAACCUUGGAACUGCCUUUGAUACUGGAGACCUUGAGUCCGGGAGAGGUGAGUGGAAUUGCGAGUGUAGAGGUGAAAUUCGUAGAUAUUCGCAAGAACACCAGUGGCGAAGGCGGCUCACUGGCCCGGAACUGACGCUGAGACGCGAAAGCGUGGGGAGCAAACAGG